GAAUUCUUCGUAAAGUUAAUAUAUUCAAUUUCUUCAAACUCCGGAGCAACAUCGUUACAUCGUAACCUCAACGACUAAGAUCGCAUAUAAUUUCAUAUUAUCUCGUAUGAGAAUUAUUAUUACAUUAUACGACAUAAUGAUAUUUUGUAAAGAAUAUAACAGAGGCAUUAUGAGAUUUACAUAUUCCCAAC